rnacentral:rRNA from 1 species
UACGUAGGGGGCAAGCGUUGUCCGGAAUCAUUGGGCGUAAAGAGCGUGUAGGCGGCCCGAUAAGUCCGCUGUGAAAGUCCAGGGCUCAACCCUCGAAUGCCGGUGGAUACUGUCGGGCUAGAGUGCGGAAGAGGCGAGUGGAAUUCCUGGUGUAGCGGUGAAAUGCGCAGAUAUCAGGAGGAACACCUAUUGCGAAGGCAGCUCGCUGGGACGUAACUGACGCUGAGACGCGAAAGCGUGGGGAGCAAACAGG